AUGAACGCUGGCGGCGUGCCUAAUACAUGCAAGUCGAGCGAACAGACGAGGAGCUUGCUCCUCUGACGUUAGCGGCGGACGGGUGAGUAACACGUGGAUAACCUACCUAUAAGACUGGGAUAACUUCGGGAAACCGGAGCUAAUACCGGAUAAUAUAUUGAACCGCAUGGUUCAAUAGUGAAAGACGGUUUUGCUGUCACUUAUAGAUGGAUCCGCGCCGCAUUAGCUAGUUGGUAAGGUAACGGCUUACCAAGGCAACGAUGCGUAGCCGACCUGAGAGGGUGAUCGGCCACACUGGAACUGAGACACGGUCCAGACUCCUACGGGAGGAAGCAGUAGGGAAUCUUCCGCAAUGGGCGAAAGCCUGACGGAGCAACGCCGCGUGAGUGAUGAAGGUCUUCGGAUCGUAAAACUCUGUUAUUAGGGAAGAACAAAUGUGUAAGUAACUAUGCACGUCUUGACGGUACCUAAUCAGAAAGCCACGGCUAACUACGUG
rnacentral:rRNA from 1 species